UUGACAUACUAAGAACUUUCCAGAGAUGGAUUGGUGCCUUCGGGAACUUAGAUACAGGUGCUGCAUGGCUGUCGUCAGCUCGUGUCGUGAGAUGUUGGGUUAAGUCCCGCAACGAGCGCAACCCUUUUCCUUAUUUGCCAGCGGGUCAUGCCGGGAACUUUAAGGAUACUGCCAGUGACAAACUGGAGGAAGGCGGGGACGACGUCAAGUCAUCAUGGCCCUUACGGCCAGGGCUACACACGUGCUACAAUGGUCGGUACAAAGGGUUGCUACCUCGCGAGAGGAUGCUAAUCUCAAAAAGCCGAUCGUAGUCCGGAUCGCAGUCUGCAACUCGACUGCGUGAAGUCGGAAUCGCUAGUAAUCGCGGAUCAGAAUGCUGCGGUGAAUACGUUCCCGGGCCUUGUACACACCGCCCGUCACACCAUGGGAGUUUGUUGCACCAGAAGUAGGUAGUCUAACCGCAAGGAGGACGCUUACCACGGUGUGGCCGAUGACGUGGGGUGAAGUCGUAACAAGGUAGGCGUAGAUGA
rnacentral:rRNA from 1 species